ACGAAGGGGGCUAGCGUUGCUCGGAAUUACUGGGCGUACCUCUCCCGUCGGCGGCUUCUUCCGUCGGUGGUGAAAUCCUGGAGCUCAACUCCAGAACUGCCUUCGAUACUGGGAAGCUCGAGUCCGGGAGAGGUGAGUGGAACUGCGAGUGUAGAGGUGAAAUUCGUAGAUAUUCGCAAGAACACCAGUGGCGAAGGCGGCUCACUGGCCCGAUACUGACGCUGAGGCACGAAAGCGUGGGGAGCAUACAGGA
rnacentral:rRNA from 1 species